rnacentral:lncRNA from 1 species
GGGUUCGGGAAGUGAGAAAGUGAGGUACGAGUGUCGUGAGCCCGCAAAAUCUUAGGGAGAUCUUCAACAUCCUCUCAAGCACGUCUGUUGAUGAUCCAGAGCAUCCAAAGAAUCGACAAACAUCGAUCGAAGGAGUUCGAUUAGCAUCGGCCGUCAAAAGGGCUCUACAAUGAGCUAGCACUCGUGAGGAGUCGAUCAGACCGGAAGCUUCAUGUGG